rnacentral:rRNA from 1 species
UACGUAUGGUGCAAGCGUUAUCCGGAUUUACUGGGCGUAAAGGGAGCGCAGGCGGUUUAUUAAGUCUGGUGUAAAAGGCAGUGGCUCAACCAUUGUAUGCAUUGGAAACUGGUAGACUUGUGUGCAGGGGAGGAGAGUGGAAUUCCAUGUGUAGCGGUGAAAUGCGUAGAUAUAUGGAGGAACACCGGUGGCGAAAGCGGCUCUCUGGCCUGUAACUGACACUGAGGCUCGAAAGCGUGGGGAGCAAACAGG